rnacentral:rRNA from 1 species
GACGAACGCUGGCGGCGUGCUUAACACAUGCAAGUCGAACGGAAAGGCCCUGCUUUUGUGGGGUGCUCGAGUGGCGAACGGGUGAGUAACACGUGAGUAACCUGCCCUUGACUUUGGGAUAACUUCAGGAAACUGGGGCUAAUACCGGAUAGGAGCUCCUGCUGCAUGGCGGGGGUUGGAAAGUUUCGGCGGUUGGGGAUGGACUCGCGGCUUAUCAGCUUGUUGGUGGGGUAGUGGCUUACCAAGGCUUUGACGGGUAGCCGGCCUGAGAGGGUGACCGGCCACAUUGGGACUGAGAUACGGCCCAGACUCCUACGGGAGGCAGCAGUGGGGAAUAUUGCACAAUGGGCGGAAGCCUGAUGCAGCAACGCCGCGUGCGGGAUGACGGCCUUCGGGUUGUAAACCGCUUUCGCCUGUGACGAAGCGUGAGUGACGGUAAUGGGUAAAGAAGCACCGGCUAACUACGUA